UCAUUACAGAGUUCAUGCCCGAAAGGGUAGACCUCCCACCCUUGUGUAUUAUUACUUUGUUGCUUUGGCGAGCUGCCUUCGGGCCUUGUAUGCUCGCCAGAGAAUACCAAAACUCUUUUUAUUAAUGUCGUCUGAGUACUAUAUAAUAGUUAAAACUUUCAACAACGGAUCUCUUGGUUCUGGCAUCGAUGAAGAACGCAGCGAAAUGCGAUAAGUAAUGUGAAUUGCAGAAUUCAGUGAAUCAUCGAAUCUUUGAACGCACAUUGCGCCCCUUGGUAUUCCGGGGGGCAUGCCUGUUCGAGCGUCAUUUCAACCCUCAAGCUUAGCUUGGUAUUGAGUCUAUGUCAGUAAUGGCAGGCUCUAAAAUCAGUGGCGGCGCCGCUGGGUCCUGAACGUAGUAAUUAUCUCUCGUUACAGGUUCUCGGUGUGCUUCUGCCAAAACCCAAAUUUUUCUAUGGUUGACCUCGGAUCAGGUAGGGAUACCCGCUGAACUUAAGCAUAUCAAUAA
rnacentral:rRNA from 1 species